UCUCCGCAAUGAGUUUGGAUCUGAGUACCUCCCCACCGAUUUCUAGAACGCAAACAGAAUAUUUGAACUAUUCUGAUUGAUCCAUGAAAUCAAUGGGUUCGGCAAGAGCCAGAACAUACGUGGGUAAAGCAGCGUUUUGAAAAUUCAACAUUUUGGCUUUGAUACUCUGAUUGGUUAGAGAUGAUCCAAUCACUGAUGACUUUGUUUUGUACAACACCCCUCAUUUUGAUGUCACCACAAACGACUUUGCCGAAUGAAGUGUGUAGCAAACAGAGCAGAGGAAGAAUUCAGUUUGAGUUGUCAGGCCAUGGUUUUGAAGGUGAAUUCCUAGGAUUUUACAUGGUCUGUAUCCAGACCGCUCAUGUCCAAUCACAGGCUGAUCUUCUCUUCCUGACACAUGAGUCCAGCAUCAUCCCCACCACCCACCCACAUCUGACUGAGACCAGGGUUGUGAUUACGGGCACGAAAUGAAGGAAAAUGGUCCGAAACGGAGUGAUGCGGCAAGGAAUGUCUAUCCUUGCCCUUACAGGAAGCCAGUGCAACGGUUCCCAACUGUAAUGUAUGAAGCCUCACAAAUGCAAGCACCAUUCAAAUCUACUUUUCUUAUUACAAACACACGUUCAUGGAUAGAGUUACCUAUGGGUACCACUCACAUAUUUAACCCUAUGCUGAAUUCAAACUGAGGCACAUUUUGUGAUGACUUGAAAUAAGUAUCGGUUGAAAAUAACUUUGCUUGAGUUUUCAUUUGGAAUGAGACACCCAAGCCGAUAGAAAGUGAACUAAAUGAAUUGAGUCUGACAUUAAAUAAGUGUUUUGAACAAAUGGGCCGUUGAUGUUUUCCAAAUACCAUGAUGGUAUCACAUCCAAACUUUCUGUCGUUUUGAAAAUGACUUUUUUUUUUAUCGCUCUUACUAUCACUCUUACUCAAAUACUCUAGCGGUCUCGCUGGAUGAUAGACCCAAGUGCAGCCCAACUUAAUGGAUAUAGACACACACACACAUACUUACACACGGUCACACAUACACACACACGCCCUCACCUAUCCCACAGAGGUCUAGCGACAACCAAAUGUGGGGAAUGUCUUGGGAAGGCUUCAGAAAAGGCCUCAGAACACUCAGUGAUUACGACUCUAACAGCUGGCCCCAUUCACACCGUCAGCACACACACACACACACACUGCUCCCAGGGAAUGAGGAAACAUCGGGCUGUGCUUCACUUUGGUUCCAGCCAGGAGCAUUGGGAAUGCUGCGGGAAAGAAACUCGGCUGUCUGUCUUUCCACACUUUCCCUUCCUAAUGAUGUGUAGAAGCAUACUCCCUCAACCUCUCACUUCUUGCUCACAAAUUAGAUGACACGGACAAUUCAAUUACUGUACAUGCACCUCGUUCGCCAGUGAAAUGUGUGUUUUCAUCAUGUUGCCGAGCUUCAACAUUUUGAAUGAUGACGUCAAUGGUUGCCUACGCUUGGUCCUGUUUUGGUGAUGGCUGUACAUUGCUUGACGUGAAUGGUACGGGGCUUGUUCAACAGAAAGCCUGAAACAAUUGACUGCUAAAACAGAUUUAACACCUUUUAUUUAGUUAUUUUAUGCACGUGCUCUCUUUGUCUUGGGGCUCAUACUUUUCACUUUCAUACUCUGUCGUAGAACAGUUCUAUUCACAUGAACCUAAUUUACAGGCACCAAAUUUAAGGAAAGCUGAUAUGGGUCUGUUGACUAGAUUGAGCACUUUGAGGUGCAUGCGGCUCACACAGUAGCUUAGCCUACCGUGUUACCUUCUCACUUUGGGUGACUGUAAGAAACAAAAGGGGAAUGGCGACUCAUAUCACACGUGAUUUACUUUUAAGUAUAUACCUUGCUUUAUUACUUUCACUGGGAUGAACAUAUAUCAUUAGCAGCAGAAAACGGAAGGUGCAUGGAUUUUCCAACUGUGCUGUCGAAGCUUUCCAGGGCUGUGGAUGAUGGUGUCGGUACAAACAUAACCAGGGGUGGAAUUGGACGGACAGUUAUACGACAUAUAAAAAGUGUUUUUCCUAGGAUGUUGCUUUGGGAGUUUCAUGGAGUGAUUCCAACCCCCCCCCUAAUUCCACUCCUGCUCUUAAACCAACCUCCUGUUCUUCCCCUCUGUCUAGUGAUGGGAAAUAGCCCUUGGACUUCCUCUGUCUCAAUCUGCCCCUUCAAAAGGAGGCUUUGGUGUGGGUGGGAGGUGGUAGGAGCACAUCUCCCUGUAACAUGCAGUAAAUAGUCUCUAAUUAAAGCCCCCAAACUUCAGAGCACAGCUUAAUCUGUUAAAGCCCACCACUUUAGCUCUCAUCAAAGAACAGGAUGAGCUUGGCACAGGACUGUGUACGUGAGUUAGUGUGUGUGGCCGGCUGGCUGCGUAUGUGUAUGGUUUUGGGAGGUACAUUUUACUGCAACUCAGUUGGCUUACAUAAUGUGACUAUUAAUAACUUACAUAUUUACCAUACAUCAACCUACAGUGGUUCCUCCUUUGAAAGUUGCAAGCUCAUGCCGUGGGACUUAGAGGUCAUUUGUGGUUUAGUACUGUACCCUGUGUCACCACUUCGUUGCUCCAGACCAGCACAAGGGGGGAGUUAGAUCACUGAUUAUGCUUUUGAGUCCUACUGUGUCUCUAACUGACAAUGA